AAAAAAAAAACACCCAAAAACAAAACACCACCAACAACCCAACAAAACAAAACAAAACCUCUCCAAGCCUUCGCCGCCGCCUGAGUUCUGCAGGAGAAGUCGGAAGGGCAGAAACCCCACCGGAGAAUUCCGCCGUGCAGCUCUCCGUCGGGGGCGGCUGCGGGUGGCUGCGAUCCGAGGCGCAGUUACUCGGGAGUCGGCGGCAGCCAACCUGCCCAGGUUCGGAAUGUCCGGAAACGGCUUCGGAAAAGCCCCGCACGGCCCUGGCGGCGGGCUCUCUGGUCUAGAGUCUUAUUUUCCCAGAUGGAGGCUGAGGGACGGAGAUCAUUUCGGCUGUGUGGUCCUGGACCGAACGGAGUCUAGCCGGCUUGGGGGGAGAAAAGCGAGCCAAGCAGCGCCUCAACAAGUGGCCGGAGGAUUUGCCGCUGGGAAACCAAACCACCACUCCGGAAAGCCACCGAGUUCAACACGACCUGCAGAGCUGUGCGAGAAAGACCCCCCACCCCAAGCAUUUCAGGAGUCCCUGCUUAUUUGACUGAACUCCCCCCUCAUCUACAAACCCAUAUCUCCCCCUAAGUGUCUUCCCUCCCUCCCAGCCCCCUCCCCAAAGCCGGUGAGGAGUUGCUCCACAGGUUUUCCUGCGGUCUGCACUCCUGCAAGAGAGCCAGUGUGUAGAAGAGGACUGCUACAGUCGCAAUCUUCUCUUUCCCUUGAGGUCCUGGCUGGGUCUACCGUCAGCUCAGUUCCGGCCAGGUCUGCACAAUGAACCUCCACAGGAGAAAGGGGGAAGGGGGGGUCAUAUUUGGGUCCAGAAGACCGCCUUUGUUCCGUUCUGAGGUCGCAAAACUUCUAAUACGAAUACUAUUUAUAUACCGCUUUUCAACAAAGUUUCCAAAGCGGUGUACAUAGAAAAAUGAAGAAUAAAUAAAUGAGACGGUUCCCUGUCCCCAAAGGGUUCACAAUCUAAAUAAGAAAUAGAAGGCAAAGACAAACAGCCACUGGAGGGAUGCUGUGCUGGGGUUGGAUAGGGCCAGUUGCUCUCCCCCUGCUAAAUAGAAGAGAAUCACCACUCUGAAAGGUGCCUCUUUGUUCAUUUCGCAGGGAUCCCGUUCUAGAACUUCCCAUUCUUGAGCGCCUUUCUCUCUCUGUGAGCCCCCAAGGCGUUAUCAAAAGAUCCCUAAAAUAGCAUAAAAGCACCCCAGCCCCUAAACUAUAUAGUGUACCACAGUCCCUCCGGAAACUGUGGCUCAGAUCCAAGGGUUUCCAGCUCUGAAGGCAGCUAUUCCUGCAAUUCUCCCCUGCCCCCAUAUAUUUCUCCCAAUAUUUUUCACAAUUUUAAGCCAUUACAAUUUCCAUUGCUUUCAAUUGUCACUGGAGAUGGAUGCCAGAGACCUCAGGGCAAUCUCGGAGGUCAGCGACCCAAGCAAGUCCUGUGGGGAUGAACAAGGCCAGGGAAGGGAGCCUUCCCCAAAUGCUCCUUGCAUUUGCACCUCCCGCAGGACAAGUGGGCAAAUAAAAAUGAAUUCUGAAAUAAGGAACUCAGAAGCUUCAAAUCUUGCAGCAAUUAUGGGAGUGUUAUCUCGAUCUCUUAAUCCAGUUACGUCAAGCUAGUUGUUUUGAACUUGUUUGACACACCGCUUGGGACAUGCUUGGAAGGCAAUCGAUUUGAGAUCGCAGUCCGUACAUCCAUGCUGUGCAUCUUUCGAUGGAGAAAGAAAUGCUCCCUCCUGGGGGAAGGAACUUCUCGCCCGGUAGAUGGACUUUUACAAUAGCCCCCACCCUUUAUUUAUUUAUUUAUUUGAUUUCUAUACCUCCCUUGCAAAAAUGGCUCAGGGUGGUUUACACAGAGAAAUAAAUAAAUACGAUAAAUAAAAUGGACCCCUGUCCCCAAAGGGCUCACCAUCUAAAAAGAAACCUCAGAUAGACACCAGCAACAAUCACUGGAAGUACUGUGCUGGAGGUGGAUAGGGCCAGUUCCUCUCGCCCUGCUAAAUAAAGAGAAUCACCACAUUAAAAGGUGCCUCUUUGCUAAGUUUCCUGGGUUAUGAGUUGGUUAUACUGUAAGCAUUAAAGACUUCCAUCCCUCCUGUAAGCUAAUCAACUUUGCAAAAUGUUUUCAGGCGUAGAAAAGAAAGAAAGAAAGAAAGAAAGAAAGAAUACGCAGGAAGACAGGAGAGAGAAAGAGAGAAGGAAAAGGCAGACAGUCAAGAUAAAUAAAGAAGGAUGAAAUGAGGCAGACAGACGAGAGAAAGAGAAAAAGAAAGAAAGAAAGAGAAAGAAAGAAAGAAAAGAAAAGCAAAGAAAAAAGCAAAGCAGUGGCGUUAUUAAUUGUUAAUUAUUAUUAUUAUCCCCCCUUUCUUAAAUAGGACUUAGCUUAUCCCAGAAAGCCAGAGGUGGAAAGAAUAAACACGGGGACCCCGCCGAGUUUAAAGUCCCCUUUAAUUCAAUUUGUCAAACGCCUUCUAAUUUCGCCCUGUCUAGCGCGGAGGGGAUGUGGUUUCCAUUUUGGGCCCGCGCUUGUGUGCCUCGCUUCUCGGCCGAGAGAAACCCUUUGGAGGGAACCGCUUAAUGGGCAGCCUGCCCGCCCUCCGCCCGCCUUCGCCCCCCUCCCCGGCGCCCCCCUCUCCGUACCCCGAGCGAGUCUCAGACCAUUAGGCUGCCUUCGGUAAUUACCGUCCCGGCAGGCUGGGGCUCCUGCCGUCGGAUUUUUUUUUUUUUGCAGGAGGGGUGUUGGGAACAUUUAUUAAACCCAGAUGGGUGCCGGAGUUUGGGCCAUAAGGAAAAGAUUUACAAUUAGGCCAAUUGGAACCGAAAUACAGCCAUCCGUUCCAGGACAGGUGUAAAUAAUGUUUCCUUCAAGGAACGGGCGGGCCGUUGGAAACCUAUUCCCCCCCCCCAAUGGUUGAUCUAAAGAGGAGGGGGGCAUUUACAUGCCCGUGAAAGCCCGCCCCCCCGCCCCCCCGUUGAUCUAAACAGGGGAAAAAAUUCCACUUUGGAGACUGGUUUGCUGGUUGGUCCUCUCAAAAUCAGAGCCCCACAGCACCUGCAUGGGAUGCGCGUAGCAUCUUGUGGUUGCGGCUCUGUCCCUGGUUUUAGGGCUCCUUGAGUUGCUUUUAAUUGCUUUCCAAGCUAUUUCCAUAUGGGUUUUAGUCUUGUGGAUUAACUUUUGGAAACCGCCUUGGGAUCAGAUGUAUAAAAGGCAGUAUAGACAGAGAACAAUCAAUCAAUCAAUCAAUCAAUCAAUCAAUCAAUCAAGAAGUAAAUCAAUUCCUUAUGGAGAUCGUAGGAUUGUUGUUUAUAUAACACGUUUGUAAACCGCCUCAGGAAUGAGUUUUGUGAAAGGAGGUAUAGAAAUCGAACAAUUAAUAAGUAAAUCCCUACAGCCCGAACAUUAAAUCCAAGAAAUUACCUAAACGCUCUGUUUGGAAGCAGCGUCUUUUUGGUGUUAAUGGACUCGCUUCCAAACAAGUGUGCUCAGGAAUGAUUAUUAGGAUUGUUGGAUGAUUAUUUCUGUAGCAUCAUCAAUGGGCAUGGCGCUUUACAAUGUACAACAAAAUGGGUCCCUGUCCCUAAGGGGCUUACACUCUAAAAUUGAAAUGAAAUGGAGGUAGGGAGUGAACAGAGGGGAAACUUGCCUUUAUUUCAUUUACAAGGAUUUAUAGCAGGAUCUCUGGGGUCUACGGGUGCUGAAAGCUUGACGGAGAAGGUGAAUCUCGAGGGACGUUUGGAAGGGAAUGAAAAAGACCCCGCAGAUUCCAGGUGCCCAGCCUUAAAGGUGAGAUCCUUUCGUUUCAGUCCGAUUUCACUUCUAACUAAUGUCGACUGGGUAUUGAGAAGUAAGUAAGCAGAGUCAGAGUCCAAUGUGUUUUUACUUGGGAGUAAGCCUCAAGCGACCACAGGGCAACUUCGCUCCGAAUAAACAAACGAAUACAUAUGUCAGGGAUCGGUCUGCGUAAUGCUACCGCCUGUAAUCCAAUCAAUAAGCAGCCGGAAACUCAGCGAAGUCGCUUAGAAGCAAUGCGCGCCGAUUUCCCGUGGAAUCUGCUUAGGGAGGGAAGCCGAAGCCCUAAGCUUGAAUUAGUAGCAAAUCCCAUAAACUUCACUGUAAUUGGAUUUAUUAUAUUGAUAUUCCACUCUUUCACGGGGUAUAAACUACCCAUGCAGCGUUAUCCUCUCCACAAUAUCCUGAGCAGAGGGAAGAUUGACCAGGAGAAAGAGAGCACACGCCGGGUUACUCCAAGGUCACCCGGUGAGCCGGUAACCGGCUGAGUUGGGGAUUGAUCCAGAAUCUCUCCAAGUUCGAGUUCAACAACCUUUCUGCUUACACCGCACUGUUGAGAACAGGCAUUUGGGUUCCGAAUGCUUGCUUGGAGGCGUACUCCAAGAAAUGCUUGAGAAACAUUUUACGGAAAACUUCCUUCCUUCCUUCCUCCCCCGCCCCCCAAAAUGUUAUCUUUCCUUCACACUGCAGAAUUCUUUUAUAAUUCCCACACUGGGAAACUUUCACCCUUCAAGUCCUCAAGUUUUAAUUCCUCUGGCUUCUGUUAGGAAUCGGACGGUUCAUCUUUCAAGAGGACUGGUGAGUUUAGGAGCUGUGAAGGGGCUGAGAACCUAGAACUGGAGAGAACUGGGAUUCGUGUUCUUUCUUCAUCUUUUGAUACCAAUUUAAAACGGGUCGAGGAGAGAGAAAUCGAGAUCCGAGAAUGCAAUACAAGAAAAUCCCAAAGAGCAGUGUCUGGCAGCAUGAGGAAAAUUACUCAGUGUAGUCCCACUGAAAUUAAGUAAUGCUACAUUGCCAAAAUUGGUUUAAAUCCCCCCUGUCAUGUACCUUGGCUGCAAUAAACUUCCACAUAUGCUGGUUUAGGCCUCAUGAAGAUGAAUGGAAAGCAUAUCAUUUUAAAGCUAUGUGGUUUCACUUAACCAGGUUACAGACUAAGAUGAAGUUGGGUUCAAGAGGGAUAGCUGGAAUAAUUUGGGAAUCACAGGCAUGGGUCAUAAAGCUAGGAGGAGAUCUCUGAGACACCCAUACCAACUUGGCAUGAGACAACCUGAAACAAGGCAGCAGAAGCUGAUGGGGUCAACUUUUUCUCUGGAGUUUCCGGGGAAUAUGUCUGAGUCACAGUUUUGGAACUCAUCACAUGUCUAAAGAGAUUAUGGACAGAUUCCUCCCUCCCUCCUUCUCUCCCUCCCUCCUAAUAUUUGUAUUUCCUUUCUCAUAAUAUUUUAUUUUCCAUCACUUGAAGAAAACACACACACACUCUGAAAUAAAAUAAACUGAGGGAAGGAAGGAAGGGAGGGAGGGAGGGAGGGAGGGUUGGUUAUACCUAGCAAGCAUGCUAUGGGAUUUCAGGUGAUUCUACAGACAAAUACAUUACUUCUUGUGGAAUAAUUAUUUCCCAGCUUCACCAAUAACUCAGAGGAGAGUGAACAGAUUUCCAGUUUCCAUCUCAGCAUGGAACCAAAGUUAAACUUUCCCAAUCCCACUGAUUCCAGAGGUUAAUGUAGUGCUUAGUUCUCUGUGCAAAGCAAUGGCGUUUAGCGGUGAAUAAUUUUGAUUGCUCUCAUCCUUUGGGUUUGCUAAUAUGCUGCAUGCAGAUGUGAACUUAAGUCAUUCAGUUCACAUCUUUAAGACGUGAAGUCAUUAAGAUGUGAACUGAAGGUGAUGAAUGCACUGCCCCUCUCCGCAGUGGACGGCUCAAGCACAGUCUGACUGAACUCCAUCCUUGGCGGGGUCAGAAGGCAUGCCCACUCUGGACAGACUGGCCAGUGGAUUUGCGGAGAUGUGCCCCUGUGUCCUGUGGCUUGACUCACUUGCUGGAGUUAUCUCAUCAGCCAGUUGCUCGGGGGAGGCUUGACUACCUCCACACAGCACAGACCUCUGUGGGCUGCGGUGGAGAUUUAUACGCCACUUUAGGAAUUAAAUAGCAGAAGCCUUAACUGGUCUCUGGUGGUCGCUGGGCCCUCCUUCCUAGGAACCAGGAGUAGGAUCCGAACCUGCACCAGGCUGUUUUCAAGGAAGAGCGAAGUCCCUGCACACGCGGACAUACACGCGUGCGCACAUCCUGGCGUGUUUAAAGCCCGCACGGAGAGAAGCCUCUGUCGCUCUGGAUGGCCGCGUUGCUGGGGGCCCUCCUGGGAGGGAAGAUCGAGCCAGGGUCUGACGUGCUCGAAGACGCCCCGAGAGACGCCAAAGCCUCGGAAACUCCAGAGCAGCCACAUGAAAGCGGAGUUAAGUAGGAAGCGGUGUCAAAAGCCUUGUCGCUGCGUUGGGCUGCCCUCCCAGAUGUGCUGCAUAAAAAGGCCCGUCUUUAAUGAGAGAGCGAUGAACGCUGCUUGAACCGGGCGGGGAGGCGGCGGCGGCAGACGCAGAUGUUGGAAGGAAGGCAUUUCCCACAGCCGCCGCCGCCGCCAGCAAGAGGGGGCUUCUUCGGUCCUCACUUGUUGCUCGGCGCAGCUCACCUGCUGCGGCAAAAGAGCCCUCCGCCCCUGAUUCCCGGGGGAGUUUCCCUCUCUGGCCGCGGGAGGGCGCCCCGGUGGCCCGCAGUGGGCUCACAGACACACCAAAGUGCCUUGACUUCCAAAGAUCCCGGGCUGGACGAGGAGAAGAGGAAGAAGCCAAAGGUCUAAGCGCAUCUGCGGCGGAGCCCUCCUGAGAAGCAAACUGCCGCCUGGAAACGGAGCGCCCUCUCUCUCGCUGAGGCCCCCCUUGCCAAAGCGCGGAAGGCGAGCAUGGUCUGUGCAGCCUGCCGGAAACGGAGGCGUCCCUGUUGCUGGGAUGGCGGCCGUCGGGAGCGGCCAAGGAGAGCGGAAACUGGGCAUUUUCG